rnacentral:lncRNA from 1 species
AUCAGAAAACAGCAAGGAGGUUCCAAAUGCCCAGAUUAAGCUCUGCAACAUGCACUUUAAUCAAGUAAUUUAUGUGACUCUGCAGAGAUGAGAACAUGCUGUCCUCCUCAUGGCUUGCUUUUUUAUGAUGGCAGGAAUUAUGGGAAUAAUUUUGAUAUAAACCAGGCAUAGAAGUGUAUGGAUGAAAUAUUGUCUGAGCUGGCUUUAGCCACUGCCUUUCAGUUGAGUUAGCUGGGAAGGAGCAGCUCAACUCCUUGGUGAAGAUACUCAGUCUUCAAGCAAAGUGCAGGCACGUGUCACUGCACACAGCAAAGACAAGGCCAGUCUGAUCAGAGACAUGAACGAUGAGAGAAGCACAGUUCCUGAAUAUUGCACUGGGAGAGCACCAGACUGGGUGGGAAGAAAAGCCACAGAGGCACUGCAGAAAUGAAGAGAGGUAGCAGGACAUGCAGCCAGUGCACCCCUAUGAAAGACCAAGGAUGCCCUCUGUGUUGCUUACUUCACCUCUUGGCACACAUCAGUGCAGUGACACGUGAUAACAUGAGGCUUAGGGCAGUUCCUAGUCAUUGCUUCCAGAAUGGGAAUGAGCUGGGACUCCUGCACAGUCCUGAACACCAACCUGAAACCGUGGAGUUUCAGCAGCUGAGAAUUCCUCCCCAGGCAUCAUACAGGUAUUUGCUGAUCCCAGUAAGACACAGAACAAGACAAGAAAGCCUGGUUGCAGGCCCAGCAAUCCC